rnacentral:rRNA from 1 species
GACGAACGCUGGCGGCGUGCCUAAUACAUGCAAGUCGAGCGAACAGACGAGGAGCUUGCUCCUCUGACGAGAGCGGCGAACGGGUGAGUAACACGUGGAUAACCUACCUUUAAGAGUGGGACAACAUCGGGAAACGGGUGCUAAUACCGGAUAAUAUCUUGAAACGCAAGGUUCAAUAGUGAAAGACGCUUUUGCUGCCACUUAUAGAUGGAUCCGCGCCGCUUUAGCUGGUUGGUAAGGUAACGGCUUACCAAGGCGACGAUGAGUGGCCGACCUGAGAGGUUGAUCGGCCACACUGGAACUGGGACACGGCCCAAACUCCUACGGGAGGCAGCGGUGGGGAAUCUUGGGCAUUGGGCGAAGGCCUGACGGAGCAACGCCGCGUGAGUGAGGAGGGUCUUCGGAUCGUAAAACUCUUUUAUUGGGGAGGAACAAAUGUGGAGUUAAAUAUGCACGUCUUGACGGUACCUAAUCAGAAAGCCACGGCUAACUACGUG